rnacentral:tRNA from 3 species
GAGCCGCUAGCUCAGUUGGUAGAGCAUCUGACUUUUAAUCAGAGGGUCGAAGGUUCGAAUCCUUCGCGGCUCACCA